rnacentral:rRNA from 1 species
AUUGAACGCUGGCGGCAUGCCUUACACAUGCAAGUCGAACGGCAGCAUAGGAGCUUGCUCCUGAUGGCGAGUGGCGAACGGGUGAGUAAUAUAUCGGAACGUGCCCUAGAGUGGGGGAUAACUAGUCGAAAGAUUAGCUAAUACCGCAUACGAUCUACGGAUGAAAGUGGGGGAUCGCAAGACCUCAUGCUCCUGGAGCGGCCGAUAUCUGAUUAGCUAGUUGGUGAGGUAAAAGCUCACCAAGGCGACGAUCAGUAGCUGGUCUGAGAGGACGACCAGCCACACUGGGACUGAGACACGGCCCAGACUCCUACGGGAGGCAGCAGUGGGGAAUUUUGGACAAUGGGGGCAACCCUGAUCCAGCAAUGCCGCGUGAGUGAAGAAGGCCUUCGGGUUGUAAAGCUCUUUUGUCAGGGAAGAAACGGUUCUGGCUAAUAUCCAGAACUAAUGACGGUACCUGAAGAAUAAGCACCGGCUAACUACGUGCCAGCCGCCGCGGUAA